CCUACGAGUGGCAGCAGUAGGGAAUAUUGCUCAAUGGGGGAAACCCUGAAGCAGCAACGCCGCGUGGAGGAUGAAGGUUUUCGGAUUGUUAACUUCUUUUGAUAGAGAAGUUAAUUGCGUUAUCUAACGAAUAAGCACCGGCUAACUCCGGGACAGCAGCCGCGGUAAUACGGAGGGUGCAACCGUUACUCGGAAUCACUGGGCGUAAAGAGCGCGUAGGCGGGAUAGCAAGUCAGAUGUGAAAUCCUAUGGCUUAACCAUAGAACUGCAUUUGAAACUGUUAUGCUAGAGUAUGUGAGAGGUAGGUGGAAUUCGUGGUGUAGGGGUAAAAUCCGUAGAGAUCAAGAGGAAUACUCAUUGCGAAGGCGACCUGCUAGAACAUAACUGACGCUGAUGCGCGAAAGCGUGGGGAGCAAACAGGAUUAGAUACCCGUGUAGUC
rnacentral:rRNA from 1 species